GACACGACUCUCGGCAAUGGAUAUCUCGGCUCUCGCAUCGAUGAAGAGCGCAGCGAAAUGCGAUACGUGGUGCGAAUUGCAGAAUCCCGCGAACCAUCGAGUCUUUGAACGCAAGUUGCGCCUGAGGCCAACCGGCCAAGGGCACGUCUGCCUGGGCGUCAAGC
rnacentral:rRNA from 4 species